UACGGGGGGGGUAAGCGUUGUUCGGAAUUACUGGGCGUAAAGGGCUCGUAGGCGGCCAACUAAGUCAGACGUGAAAUCCCUCAGCUUAACUGGGGAACUGCGUCUGAUACUGGUGGGCUUGAGUGCAGGAGAGGAACGCGGAAUUCCAGGUGUAGCGGUGAAAUGCGUAGAUAUCUGGAGGAACACCGGUGGCGAAGGCGGCGUUCUGGACUGCUACUGACACUGAUGAACGAAAGCCAGGGGAGCAAACGGG
rnacentral:rRNA from 1 species